CUAGAUUAUAUUUUCUUCUAGCUUCAGAUAUUAGAUAUAACUACACACAUGAGCAUCUACUUUGUGCUAAGAAUAAGAACUGUUGUAAGCUCAGGAGAGGACAAAGAACAGAUAUUUGAGGUCCUACUUUCCUAGUCUGUAAGUAGCCCUGCCUUUGAUCUGGUAAACAAGUGAGCUGAGCACAUAGGCAUUCUUUGGCCUGAUUGUUACGUCAUCAGCUUCUGUACGUAGGCCGUUAGUUUUCUUUGUGACUUUCUAGCAUUUUGUGGAUCUGUUUGGGGAUCUUGUCAAAUGAUAAUUCAAAGGCAGCCUUAACAUUUUUUCUUUUAUUUUUUUCACUGUAUGAUAUAAUUAUUUAU
rnacentral:lncRNA from 1 species